UUUGGGGAUAUCCUGGUUCAAGCUUGUAGUCGUGGCCCUUAGGCAAAUCCGGGGGCCUUAGAUGAGGAGUGAUAACGAGGCAGCUUGCUGCCGAAGUGAGUGAUACCCUGCUUCCAAGAAAAGCCACUAAGCUUCAGCUACACACGAUCGUACCGCAAACCGACACUGGUGCGCGAGAUGAGUAUUCUAAGGCGCUUGAGAGAACUCUGGAGAAGGAACUCGGCAAAUUGACACCGUAACUUCGGAAGAAGGUGUGCCUUUAGUAGGUGAUCCAUUUACUUGGUGAGCCCAAUGAGGCCGCAGAGAAUCGGUGGCUGCAACUGUUUACUAAAAACACAGCACUCUGCAAAGACGAAAGUCGACGUAUAGGGUGUGACGCCUGCCCGGUGCUGGAAGAUUAAAUGAUGGGGUGCAAGCUCUUGAUUGAAGUCCCAGUAAACGGCGGCCGUAACAAUAACGGUCCUAAGGUAGCGAAAUUCCUUGUCGGGUAAGUUCCGACCUGCACGAAUGGCGUAAUGAUGGCCACACUGUCUCCUCCAGAGACUCAGCGAAGUUGAAAUGUUUGUGAUGAUGCAAUCUCCCCGCGGAAAGACGGAAAGACCCCAUGAACCUUUACUGUAGCUUUACAUUGGACUUUGAACAGAUCUGUGUAGGAUAGGUGGGAGGCUUUGAAGCGGUGCCGCUAGGUGUCGUGGAGCCAACGUUGAAAUACCACCCUGGUGUGUUUGAGGUUCUAACCUUGGCCCGUUAUCCGGGUUGGGGACAGUGUAUGGUGGGCAGUUUGACUGGGCGGUCUCCUCCCAAAGUGUAACGGAGGAGUUCGAAGGUACGCUAGGCACGGUCGGAAAUCGUGCUGAUAGUGCAUAGGCAUAAGCGUGCUUGACUGCGAGACGGACAUGUCGAGCAGGUACGAAAGUAGGACUAAGUGAUCCGGUGGUUCUGUAUGGAAGGGCCAUCGCUCAACGGAUAAAAGGUACUCUGGGGAUAACAGGCUGAUACCGCCCAAGAGUUCAUAUCGACGGCGGUGUUUGGCACCUCGAUGUCGGCUCAUCUCAUCCUGGGGCUGUAGCCGGUCCCAAGGGUAUGGCUGUUCGCCAUUUAAAGAGGUGCGUGAGCUGGGUUUAAAACGUCGUGAGACAGUUUGGUCCCUAUCUUCCGUGGGCGCUGCAAGAUUGAGAGAGCCUGCUCCUAGUACGAGAGGACCGGAGUGGACGCACCUCUGGUGCAUCGGUUGUCACGCCAGUGGCAUAGCCGAGUAGCUAAGUGCGGAAGAGAUAACCGCUGAGAGCAUCUAAGCGGGAAACUCGUCUCAAGAUGAGUCUUGCCGGGGCCUUGAGCCCCCUGAAGAGUCGUUCGAGACCAGGACGUUGAUAGGCCGGGUGUGGAAGCUGAGUAAUCAGUUAAGCUGACCGGUACUAAUUGCUCGUGAGGCUUGACCCU
rnacentral:rRNA from 1 species